rnacentral:rRNA from 1 species
UACGGGGGGGGCAAGCGUUGUUCGGAAUUACUGGGCGUAAAGGGCUCGUAGGCGGCCAACUAAGUCGGACGUGAAAUCCCUCGGCUUAACCGGGGAACUGCGUCCGAUACUGGAUGGCUUGAGUAUGGGAGAGGGAUGCGGAAUUCCAGGUGUAGCGGUGAAAUGCGUAGAUAUCUGGAGGAACACCGGUGGCGAAGGCGGCAUCCUGGACCGAUAUUGACGCUGAGGCGCGAAAGCCAGGGGAGCAAACGGG